AUGUCGGCCGGCGAGAUGCGGAAGACGGCGUGCGUCACCGGAGGGAGCGGCUACAUAGCUUCAGCGCUCGUCAAGACGCUGCUGGAGAAGGGGUACGCCGUCAAGACGACGGUCAGAGACCCCGAGGACACGGAGAAGAAUUCCCACCUCAAGGACUUGCAAGCACUUGGCCCCUUGGAGAUCAUCCGUGCCCGGCUGGAUGAAGAAGGCAGCUUCGACGACGCAGUUUCCGGCUGCGACUACGCCUUCCUAGUCGCUGCGCCCAUGGACUUCGGGUCAGCAGACCCUGAGAGGGAUAUGAUCGACGCAGCCGUGCAAGGAACACUCAACGUGAUGAGGUCGUGCGUGAGAGCCGGAACGGUGAAGCGGGUGAUCCUGACGUCGUCGGAUUCUGCGGUCUCCAUGAGGCCGCUGCCGGACGAUGUUCAUGUGCUCGACGAGGGCUCCUGGUCCGACGUCGAGUACCUCAGGGCCAACAAACCAGAAACAUGGGCGUACGCAGUGUCGAAGGUGCUUGCUGAGAAGGCGGCGACCAAAUUCGCGGAGGAGAACGGCAUCGGCCUUGUCACCAUGUUGCCGGUGUUCAUCUUGGGCGCGGCGCCGGUCUCCAAACCCACAUCAAGCGUCCCUGUCACCCUCUCCCUGUUGACCGGCGACGAGGCACAGAUGGAUAUCAUGAUAGGCAUGCAGUCGACCACGGACUGCGUGCCCAUAAGCCACAUCGACGACCUCUGUCAUGCCGAGGUGUUCAUCGCCGAGAAUGAGUCCUCCUCGGGAAGAUACCUGUGCUGCAGUCACAACACCACCGUGUUGCAACUCGCUCGUCUCAUGGCGGAGAAGUACCCACAAUACAAUAUGAAACCUGAACGAUUUGAUGGGUCCCCAGAGAAGCCGAGAGUGUGUGUGUCGUCUGAGAAGCUCAUCGGGGAAGGGUUUGUGUUCAAGUACGAUGAUCUAGGUGAGAUCCUUGAUGACCUUGUCGAGUACGGCAGAACCACCGGGAUUCUGCCCUAUUGA
rnacentral:rRNA from 1 species